AUGAAAUCUAAUCUCUCUGAAAAUUAUCUUCACCUCUUUCACACCUCUUCAUCGUUUUCAUCACAACAAAUUGGCUCCUGCAACAUUCAUCACCAUUAUCAUAUUAGCGAUAUGCAAAGCCAUAAUCAACCACAUAUGCUUCUUCACAACAAUGCAACUCAGAAAUACCAGAAAUGUAGAAGAACACAAAAGAGGAAGAAUCGAAAACAAACUCCUACCUGA